rnacentral:rRNA from 1 species
CGUCUAUAUACGUAUAGCAUAUCAAUAAGCGGAGGAAAAGAAACUAACUAGGAUUCCCUCAGUAACGGCGAGUGAAGCGGGAAGAGCUCAAAUUUGAAAUCUUCAAGGUUCUACCUUGACGAAUUGUAGUUUAAAGAAGUGUUUUCUGUUGGAAUUUCUGGUAAAAGUUCUUUGGAAAUAGGACAUCAUAAGAGGGUGAGAAUCCCGUAUUUGACCAUUAUUUCCAGCUUUGUGAUACACUUUCAAAGAGUCGGAUUGUUUGGGAAUGCAGUCCAAAAUGGGUGGUAAAUUUCAUCUAAAGCUAAACACUGGCGAGAGACCGAUAGCGAACAAGUACCGUGAGGGAAAGAUGAAAAGAACUUUGAAAAGAGAGUUAAACAGUACGCGAAAUUGUCAAAAGGGAAGCGUUUGACACCAGUGUUGUUUUCUCGAAAAUCAAUUAAAAAUGGCAGGAUUUUGUGUUGUAUUGACUUUAUCAGCCUUCUGCACUUUUUUCCUUAUCUUUUUUAAUGCACUUUUCGUUUAACAAGUCAACAUCAAUUUCUUUUGCUGUAAAAGGGUCAUUGGAAGGUGGCUUUCUUUUCGGAGAAAGUGUUUAUAGCCUUUGACUUCUGCAAUCGGAGAGAUUGAGGUCUGCAGCGUAGAUCCUUCGGGGUUAGAUGCAUUUGUGCUAAGUUAUAGCCUUUCAUAGACAACUUGUUGACUAUGAUCAGUCAUGUAGCUUACUCGCUUAUGUCAUUUUACCUACGCUUAGGAUGUUGAUCUGUAGUGCGUGCGC